rnacentral:rRNA from 1 species
GAUGAACGCUAGCUACAGGCUUAACACAUGCAAGUCGCGGGGCAGCAUGGGGGUCGCUUGCAAUCCCCGAUGGCGACCGGCGCACGGGUGAGUAACGCGUAUCCAACCUGCCCUUCACCACGGGAUAACCCGGCGAAAGUCGGACUAAUACCGUAUGUUGUCCAUUGACGGCAUCCGAUUUGGACGAAAGGUUUGGCGGUGAAGGAUGGGGAUGCGUCCGAUUAGCUGGACGGCAGGGUGACGGCCCACCGUGGCGACGAUCGGUAGGGGUUCUGAGAGGAAGGUCCCCCACACUGGAACUGAGACACGGUCCAGACUCCUACGGGAGGCAGCAGUGAGGAAUAUUGGUCAAUGGGCGUAAGCCUGAACCAGCCAAGUAGCGUGCAGGAUGACGGCCCUAUGGGUUGUAAACUGCUUUUAUGCGGGGAUAAAGUGGCCCACGUGUGGGUUUUUGCAGGUACCGCAUGAAUAAGGACCGGCUAAUUCCGUG